AUCAUUAAUAAAUGGUCUACGUUUUUUAAGUAGACGCUUAUAAUCCUACCCUUGUGAAUUUGUUUGUUUGAAAUAAUUUUUUUAAAAUUAUUGAUUGUCUUUCCCUGUUGAAUUGGUUGUCUUAAUGAAUAUUCGCAGGGAAGUGUCAAUAAUUUUUAAAAAGACCUUUUUUUAAAUUAAACUUUUUGUAUCAUUUGUCUAAAAUUAUUUUUAUAAUAUAAAACACUUUGACAAUGGAUCUUUGGUUCUCGCAACGAUGAAGAACGCAGCAAAAUGCGAUAAGUAGUGUGAAUUGCAGAUACGUGAAUCAUCGAAUCUUCGAACGCAUAUUGCACUUUUAGUUUACUAAAAAAGUAUGUCUGUUUGAGUAUCAGUAAAAUAUUCUCAUAAAAAACAUUGUUUUUUUUAUGGUUAUGAGUGUUUUACAACGAUACAAGUUGUUCACUUUAAAUUUUUUUAAAAUUGAAUUUUUCUAAUUUUAAAAUAAAAUUGGAUAAAAUUUUCCCGUAAAAAAGGAAUAACCUAAACAAUUUUAGUUUUUUGAUUAGAAUUUUCAUUAUAAAGGAAAAUUUAAUAAAUAACUUGAUCUCAAAUCAGAUAAGAGUACCCGCUGAACUUAAGCAUAUCAAUAAGCGGAGGAAAAAAACUAACAAGGAUUCCCUUAGUAACGGCGAGUGAAGCGGGAGAGCUCAAAUUUGAAAUCUUCAAGGUUUUACCUUGACGAAUUGUAGUUUAAAGAAGUGUUUUCUGUUGAAGUUUUGGUAAAAGUUCUUUGGAAUAGGACAUAUAGAGGGUGAGAAUCCCGUAUUUGACCAUUAUUUUCAGCUGUGUGAUACACUUUCAAAGAGUCGGAUUGUUUGGGAAUGCAGUCCAAAAUGGGUGGUAAAUUCAUCUAAAGCUAAAUAUUGGCGAGAGACCGAUAGCGAACAAGUACCGUGAGGGAAAGAUGAAAAGAACUUUGAAGAGAGAGUUAAACAGUACGUGAAUGUCAAAAGGGAAGCGUUUGACACAGUGUUGUUUCUCGAAAAUCAAUUAAAAGAAGUUGGAUUUUGUGUUGUAUUGACCUUAACAGCUUGCUUCACUCUUUUCCUGCUUUUUUAAUGCACUUUUCGUUUAACAAGUCAACAUCAGUUUCUUUGUUGUAAAAGGGUCAUUGGAAGGUGGCUUUCUCUUCGGAGAAAGUGUUUAUAGCCUUUGAUCUCUGCAAUCGGAGAGACUGAGGUCUGCAGCGUAGAUCCUUCGGGUUAGAUACAUUUGUGCUAAGCUACAGCUUUCAUAGACAACUUGUUGACUAUGUUUAGUCUGUGACUUACCCCGCUUAUGCUAUUUUACCUACGCUUAGGAUGUGAA
rnacentral:misc_RNA from 1 species